CUCAAUCCUAGGCUAUAGAAUGGAUACGACAUGCGAGAUCCCUUCCAGACCUUUAUCUGAGCGCCUCUUCAAGGAAACUCCUUGGCCUUCUGUUGACGCCGUCACUUGCUCCGUCGACAAUGAUCACGUUUUCUAUCGUGAGAUGUGGUUUCGUCACUAAUACGCUUGUGUCUCGCCUACUCUUCCUGAUAUAUUCUCUAAUUUGUAGUUAAUUUCAGGUUUCCCAUGGGUUUCUGAAUCUCGUAUGAGUAGUAUUUAUGUGUUUGUUCGCCGGAGUAGGUGGUGUUGCACGGCUUAACCGAAUAUGCAGUUGCCGAACCAGUGGCUGUGGGACAUGGUGGAUUGACGUUGUGUACCAGUUUUAGAGUUUUUUCGGUAUAGAGCUAAGAUGAAGAACAAGACCGAGCAAGAGAUUGUGCUUUUAAGGCAACAUGAUCAGGACAUAACAAAUUGGUAUCAAAGCAUGAGUAUGAUCUUGAUGAGUUUGGUUGAAGGUGGAGCUACUGCGACAUGCGGAAAGUCGCACAUGCAGCAAUGGUGAUGGUGGAGAGAUGAAAUUAAGGUUGAGUCCUUGAUGCGAAAUCAAGAUGGUUGAUGGCGCAAAAAUCU
rnacentral:misc_RNA from 1 species